CGAAAGUGAGAGAGAGUGCAACCAAUCACUGGUGAUGUUUACGUACAAAUCAGACAUGAAGGAGGACGUUCUGAUUUCCUAUAUAUCUCAUUUUUCAGGGCUUCUGAGUAUUUCGACAAUCAUCCAAUUAAGAAUGUAGUUGGAGAAGAUGGUGAAGAGAUUGAUUGGGAAGGGGAAAUUGAUGACGGUUGGCUUAAGGAAAUUAAUUAUUUGGAAUGGGAGAGUUUUGCUUUUUAUCCUAGUCCGUUAAUUGUUCUCGUCUUUGAAAGAUACAACAGUAAUAGAAUUGAAGUAGCAUGCAUAUCAAGAGGUUGUUGCUUUGAAGAGGCAAGAGGAGCUCAUUCGUGAGAAAGAGGAGACUUGGCAAGAUGAGAAUGAGCAAAAAGUAAAUGGUGGAGCUGCUGACAAGGAAAAACGCUCCAAGGAAAAAUAGGUAUUAUGAUUAUCUCUAAAAUGACCAUUUUAUCGUCGGUUGGACUCAUAAGCUCAUGGUGUAAUUUCUUGUUUCUUUCUUAGCAAAAGCUCAUGGUGUAAUUUCUUGUUUCUUUCUUAGCAAAAGCUCAUGGUGUAAUUUGUAUUGUUUUCAACUUUCGUGCAAUCUUUUAUUGUACAAUGACUUCACAAGGAAGUAGACACUUUCUUGUACAGUGACGUUGACCAAACAAGUUUUCUUAUAAUUAUCUUUGGUCGUGUCUUCCAACUCCGCCACGUUCCAUUUUGGUGUGCUCGAGCAAACAAAAGCAUAAUGGUGGCUCACAAGACUAGAUGCUAAUGAAAUGCAAUGAUAUUUCAAAGCAAU